rnacentral:rRNA from 1 species
UACGGGAGGCAGCAGUGAGGAAUAUUGGUCAAUGGGCGAGAGCCUGAACCAGCCAAGUAGCGUGCAGGAUGACGGCCCUAUGGGUUGUAAACUGCUUUUAUGCGGGGAUAAAGUGAGGGACGCGUCCCUUUUUGUAGGUACCGCAUGAAUAAGGACCGGCUAAUUCCGUGCCAGCAGCCGCGGUAAU